ACUCCUACGGGAGGCAGCAGUGAGGAAUAUUGGACAAUGGGUGGAAGCCUGAUCCAGCCAUCCCGCGUGCAGGAAGACGGCCCUAUGGGUUGUAAACUGCUUUUAUCUGGGGAUAAACCUACUUACGUGUAAGUAGCUGAAGGUACCAGAAGAAUAAGCACCGGCUAACUCCGUGCCAGCAGCCGCGGUAAUACGGAGGGUGCAAGCGUUAUCCGGAUUUAUUGGGUUUAAAGGGUCCGUAGGCGGACUGAUAAGUCAGUGGUGAAAUCCGACAGCUUAACUGUCGAACUGCCAUUGAUACUGUUAGUCUUGAGUAAGGUUGAAGUGGCUGGAAUAAGUAGUGUAGCGGUGAAAUGCAUAGAUAUUACUUAGAACACCAAUUGCGAAGGCAGGUCACUAAGUCUUAACUGACGCUGAUGGACGAAAGCGUGGGGAGCGAACAGGAUUAGAAACCCCGGUAGUCCCAUGAU
rnacentral:rRNA from 1 species